AGUUUCGUUGCGAAAUGUUGUAAAAUGCGGAUAAUAUACUGUAGCCUUGCGAAGUUUGCAAUUUUCAGUCAUUUUGUAUUACGCGCGGAAAAUACAUACCUCCUUCUGAAAAAGAGUAUGUAUUUCCCGUUUGUAAUACAAAAUGACUGAAAAUUGCAAACUUCGCAAGCUAUAUCAUCUGCAUUUUACAACAUUUCGCAACCAAACU